CCUACGGGCGGCAGCAGUAGGGAAUAUUGCACAAUGGAGGAAACUCUGAUGCAGCGACGCCGCGUGAGUGAUGAAGGCCUUCGGGUCGUAAAGCUCUGUCGUAUGGGACUAACACAAUGAAGGUACCAUGCAAGAAAGGAUCGGCUAACUUCGUGCCAGCAGCCGCGGUAAGACGAGGGAUCCUAGCGUUGUUCGGAAUUAUUGGGCGUAAGGCGGGUGUAGGCGGACUUAUAAGUCAGGUGUGAAAUCCCAGGGCUCAACCCUGGAAGUGCACUUGAUACUGCAAGUCUUGAGUGUGGUAGAGGCUAUUAGAAUUCUUGGUGUAGUGGUGAAAUACGUAGAUAUCAAGAGGAAUACCGGAGGCGAAGGCGGAUAGCUGGGCCAACACUGACGCUGAGACCCGAAAGCGUGGGGAUCAAACAGGAUUAGAUACCCCGGUA
rnacentral:rRNA from 1 species